rnacentral:rRNA from 1 species
GAUGAACGCUGGCGGCGUGCCUAAUACAUGCAAGUCGAGCGAACAGACGAGGAGCUUGCUCCUUUGACGUUAGCGGCGGACGGGUGAGUAACACGUAUGUAACCUACCUAUAAUACUGGUAUAACUUCGGGAAACCGGAGCUAAUACCGUAUAAUAUUUCGAACCGCAUGGUUCGAUAGUGAAAGAUGGCUUUGCUAUCACUUAUAGAUGGACCUGCGCCGUAUUAGCUAGUUGGUAAGGUAACGGCUUACCAAGGCAACGAUACGUAGCCGACCUGAGAGGGUGAUCGGCCACACUGGAACUGAGACACGGUACAGACUACUACGGGAGGCAGCAGUAGGGAAUCUUCCGCAAUGGGCGAAAGCCUGACGGAGCAACGCCGCGUGAGUGAUGAAGGUCUUCGGAUCGUAAAACUCUGUUAUUAGGGAAGAACAAACGUGUAAGUAACUGUGCACGUCUUGACGGUACCUAAUCAGAAAGCCACGGCUAACUACGUG